rnacentral:rRNA from 1 species
AGAGUUUGAUCCUGGCUUAGGAUGAACGCUAGCGGCAGGCUUAACACAUGCAAGUCGAGGGGCAGCGCGUUGUAGCAAUACGAUGGCGGCGACCGGCGCAAGGGUGCGUAACGCGUGAGCAACAUGCCCGCAACAGGGGGAUAACCGGAGGAAACUCCGACUAAUACCCCAUAAGGACGUAGGACGGCAUCGUCCAGCAUCUAAACUUACGAGGGUUGCGGAUUGGCUCGCGAGACAUUAGGUAGACGGCGGGGUAACGGCCCACCGUGCCGACGAUGUCUAGGGGUUCUGAGAGGAAGGUCCCCCACACUGGAACUGAGACACGGUCCAGACUCCUACGGGAGGCAGCAGUGAGGAAUAUUGGACAAUGGCCGGAAGGCUGAUCCAGCCAUGCCGCGUGAAAAGGAAGAAGGUCCUAUGGAUUGUAAACUUCUUUUGUACGGGAGCAAUAAGGUGUACGUGUACACCGAUGAGAGUACCGUACGAAUAAGCAUCGGCUAACUCCGUGCCAGCAGCAGC